UACGUAGGGUGCAAGCGUUGUCCGGAAUUAUUGGGCGUAAAGAGCGUGUAGGCGGCCCGGUAAGUCCGCUGUGAAAGUCCAGGGCUCAACCCUGGAAUGCCGGUGGAUACUGUCGGGCUAGAGUCCGGAAGGGGCGAGUGGAAUUCCUGGUGUAGCGGUGAAAUGCGCAGAUAUCAGGAGGAACACCAAUGGCGAAGGCAGCUCGCUGGGACGUGACUGACGCUGAGACGCGAAAGCGUGGGGAGCAAACAGG
rnacentral:rRNA from 1 species